rnacentral:snoRNA from 1 species
AUCCUUUGGUUCAUAAGAGUGAUGAUUGGGUGUUCACGCUUUUGUGUGAGAUGUGCCUCCCUCUAAACCUUGUUAUGAUAUCGGCACAUUACCCGUCUGACA